rnacentral:tRNA from 1 species
UCCGCAUUGGUCCAGUGGUUAGGAUUUCAUGCUUUCACCAUGACGGCUGGGGUUCGAUUCCCCGAUGCGGAA